CUCACUUCCUUAACGUUGGCAGAGACUCGAAGCGUGUCCAGCUGCGGCCACAUGUGCAACCUCGCUCCCUCUCGCAAGCUCCCCCGAUGCUCGGGUCGGCUUCCCAGAAUCAGACAGUAGAACUCGUGCGGCUACGCAUCUCGUCUCCCUUCCUUCCGCGUACCCAUCGCUUCCGUUGCCAUGGUUCCCCUAUUUUCUCGUAAAGUUGGCUUCUUUAUCACCAAUUUCGUGUCAAGAUCCUCGAAUUGGUUUGGGCUUCGUAAUGUUGUAGCCAAGUGCGGGUCCUCCUGCUGGCAGUAUUCGGUUGUGGCUUGUGAAAUUGGUGGUGAUGGAGAUGCAGAUGUGCAUGACGUGAGCAAGAGAAGUUACCAAGUUGUUGUGGCUGCGACUCGCGACAUGGGCAUCGGGAAGGAUGGGAAGCUGCCAUGGAAGUUGCCUUCGGAUCUCCAGUUCUUCAAGGAGUUUACAUCUACUACCAUGGAUCCGAGAAAGAAGAACGCAGUAUUGAUGGGUAGGAAGACUUGGGAGAGCAUCCCUCUCCAGUUUCGGCCUCUACCUGGGCGGUUGAAUGUCGUAUUGACCCGCUCUGGGAGGUUGGAGACUAAAUUGUCUGAAGAUGUUGUUUUAUGUGGAAGCAGGGCAUCAGCACUUGAGUUGCUUGCGUCGUCUCGCUAUUGUUCAGCAAUAGAGAAUGUUUUUGUCAUAGGAGGUGGCCAGUUACUGAGGGAAGCACUUAAUGCUCCGGAUUGUGUUGCUGUACAUAUUACUGAGAUUGAGGAUCAUGUUGACUGUGACACCUUCAUUCCCUCUAUCGAUUUGUCUGUGUUUCGGCCAUGGUACGCAUCUCCUCCAAUGGUGGAAAACGAUUUUAGACAUUCCUUUGUGACCUAUGUUCGCGUGAGGGAUUCUCAAUUGGAGCACCCUGCAUCAGGCAAAACAGCCGACUUUUUUUGUGCUUCAAAUUUCAGAAGCUUUGACUUCCUCCAAAGCUGAUUCUUGAGAGACAUGAGGAGUUCGCGUAUUUGAAUCUGAUUCAAGAAAUCAUAUCAAGUGGGAAACAUAAAAUUGACAGGAGAGGGACUGACAUUCUGUCAAUAUUCAGCCGUCAGAUGAGGUUCAAUCUUAGGAAAUCUUUUCCUCUCUUUACCACGAGAAAGGAGCUGCUAUGGGGUGAAAUUGUUGAAGAACUCCUCUGGUUUGUCAGUGGUUCAGCUGGUGCAAAGGUUCCACCGGAGAUGAUCGGUCAUACUUGGGGUGGCAGAGAACAACUUAAAAGGGAAGAAGAUGAUUCGGAUGCAAUGUUCAAAUUUCAGCAUAGACAAUUAUCUGCAAGAAUUGAAGGUGUGUGUGCUGAGUACAAGGGCCGAGGGUUUGACGAGUUGCUCAUGAUUAUUGACAAGAUCAACAAAAGAUUGGAUAAUGCACUAGUCAUCCUCUCAGUAUGUGAUCCCUCAGAUCCAAAAGUCGAAGAAUGUCCACCUGGUUACACAUUUGCACAGUUUUCUGUGGAGAAAGGAGAACUUUCCUGUCGAAUAUGCUGGGCAUCUGCUGAUGUUGGUCAUGGCGUUCCAUAUUAUAUAGCAUCUUAUGCUCUCUUGACCUGCCUGAUUGCUCAUGUCUGCAGCUUUGUCCCUGGUGACCUAACUGCUGUACUUGGGGAAGCUUAUGUUCAUGAAGCUCAUAUUAAGCCACUCCAAGAGCAGCUUCAGAGAUAUCCUAAACCUUUCCCUAUUUUGAGGGUCAACCCUAGAAAGAAGGAUAUCGAUUCAUUUUUUGAAGCUGAUUUUGAACUCACAAACUAGCACUCUCUCGGAUCACUGGAGAAGAUGGUGAUGCAGAGCCAAAAGAAGGGUACUAAGAGAAUUUGAAGCACCGUCUCCUCUAGGGCAAUGUAAAGUUGUCUCUCUUAUAACCUCGAGGGACAUGCUCUGAACAGUAUUCGUCUCUUUCAGUGUCUUGAGGGUGAAACUGCUUUUCUACCUACCAACUGUUUAUGAAGUAGCUAUCGUUCUCAUUUUCUUGUUCUAUACAAUUCCUCAUGCAUAGGUAGGAGGAGCAGCUUCAUGUGCCCUCUCAAUUUUUGUGAGAAUACAUGUGCAUAAAAUGCAGCAAGUUAAUCUGGUCAAUUUGAUUUUUGGAAAAUGGACAAAAAUGCUGUCUUAUCUGAAUAACUAAGGCUCAUCAUUC